CUAAAAAUAGAACGCAAAGCGUGAACACUUGUUCAAUUUUGCAGCGCAGCGGCGUUACAUUAGCAUUUCGUCAAAACAAAGUUGCACUUUAAAGUGGUCAAACGUUUGCAAGAGAGGUCCGAAUUAGUUUAUUUAAAAUUAACUUUAAAGUUUCAGACUUUUAGAUAUGUUACCCCCCGAUCCCCCCUUUAGGAGUGUUAUCAGUGUAUUUGUCAUUGUUUGAAGGUUCAAAUUUGCGACGCAGUCUGCUGCUCUUCCUUUGCUUUUGUGAUGUUUCUUUUGUGUUCGUCAUUUGUGUUUGUAGACAAUUUUGGAUAUUAUUUUUUUCGCUCAUUUGUAUGUUAUCAUUUUCUAUAGACGCUUCUUGUAACUGCGACUUUUCACGCAUGUACAUCUUUGAUCUUUGGUGCACAGAACAGGGCAAAAAUGACGAUAAAACUCGAAGAGUGACUACUUUGGUAGAAGAGGGUAUUAAGAACAAGGGAUACGCAGUUGACAUGAUAACACU